ANACGCUGGCGGCGUGCCUAAUACAUGCAAGUCGAGCGGACCAAAGGGAGCUUGCUCCUGGAGGUUAGCGGCGAACGGGUGAGUAACACGUGGGCAACCUGCCUGUAAGACUGGGAUAACAUCGAGAAAUCGGUGCUAAUACCGGAUAAUAAAAAGAACUGCAUGGUUCUUUUUGAAAGAUGGUUUCGGCUAUCACUUACAGAUGGGCCCGCGGCGCAUUAGCUAGUUGGUGGGGUAACGGCUCACCAAGGCGACGAUGCGUAGCCGACCUGAGAGGGUGAUCGGCCACACUGGGACUGAGACACGGCCCAGACUCCUACGGGAGGCAGCAGUAGGGAAUCUUCCGCAAUGGACGAAAGUCUGACGGAGCAACGCCGCGUGAGUGAUGGAGGUUUUCGGAUCGUAAAACUCUGUUGUUAGGGAAGAACAAGUGCCGUUCGAAAGGGCGGCACCUUGACGGUACCUAACGAGAAAGCCACGGCUAACUACGUG
rnacentral:rRNA from 1 species